rnacentral:rRNA from 1 species
ACAAGCGGUGGAGCAUGUGGUUUAAUUCGACGCAACGCGAAGAACCUUACCUGGGCUCGAAAUGUAGUGGAAUCCGGCAGAAACGUCGGCGUCUAGCAAUAGACCGCUAUAUAGGUGCUGCAUGGCUGUCGUCAGCUCGUGUCGUGAGAUGUUGGGUUAAGUCCCGCAACGAGCGCAACCCUUAUCUUCAGUUGCUACCAUUUAGUUGAGCACUCUGACGAAACCGCCUCGGAUAACGGGGAGGAAGGUGGGGAUGACGUCAAGUCCUCAUGGCCUUUAUGUCCAGGGCUACACACGUGCUACAAUGGCCGGUACAAACCGCUGCAAACCCGCGAGGGGGAGCUAAUCGGAAAAAGCCGGCCUCAGUUCGGAUUGGAGUCUGCAACUCGACUCCAUGAAGCUGGAAUCGCUAGUAAUCGUGGAUCAGCAUGCCACGGUGAAUACGUUCCCGGGC